rnacentral:rRNA from 1 species
UUUUGAGUGUUAAUUUUUUUUUGCUUGAGUAGUAUUAGUCUAUGUUCUUGAAACUUAAAGAAUUUGGCGGUAUCUUAUUCCAUUCAGAGGAACCUGUCUCGUUAUCGAUAGUCCGCGUUGGACCUUACUUAGGGUUUAUUGGUUUGUAUACCGCCGUUUAUUGAUUAUCUUUUUAGGGUUGUUUAAUUUUCUUGUUUCUUUAUUUUGAUUUAUUUCAGGUCAAGGUGCAGCUUUUUCUAAGUGGUAUGAUGGGUUACAAUGUUAUUUGUUGUUUGGAUUAUAUGUUUUGAUAUGUGUAUGAAAUUGGAUUUGGUUGUAAUGUUUUGUAGAUUGUUUUCGUGAUAAUUGGUUCUGAGAUAUGU